CACUACGAAGCCUUUGGUUUUGUAACUGAAUUGAGAACAAUGUACAAUCGUUAUCGAUAAACAAUUGGAGGGCAAGUCUGGUGCCAGCAGCCGCGGUAAUUCCAGCUCCAAUAGCGUAUAUUAACGUUGUUGCAGUUAAAAAGCUCGUAGUUGAAGUUUAGAUGAUUUGUUGAGAGUGUUAGUAUUCGUACUAUCUGCCCUCAAUAGAUUAUCGACUUCCAGGUAAGCUCAAUAAUCCCUCCGGGGACUAUUGUGCCAGACUGGUCUUUUACUGUGAGAAAAUUAGAGUGUUUAAAGCAGACUUUUUUAGUUUGAAUAGAUUAGCAUGGAAUAAUAAGAUUGGCUUUCAUAGUCGAUUUUUUGGUUUGUUUAUGAAAGCAAGAUUAAUAGGGACAGUUGGGGGUAUUCAUAUUCAAUAGCUAGAGGUGAAAUUCUAUGAUUUAUGGAAGAUGAACUAGUGCGAAAGCAUUUACCAAGGAUGUUUUCAUUAAUCAAGAACGAAAGCUAGGGGAUCAAAGAGGAUUAGAUACCC
rnacentral:rRNA from 1 species